AGUGAACGCUGGCGGCGUGCUUAACACAUGCAAGUCGAACGAGAACGGGUUAUAGCUUGCUAUAAUUGUCAGCUAAGUGGCGCACGGGUGAGUAGUGUAUAGGUAAUAUGCCUCUUACUAAGGGAUAACAAAUGGAAACGUUUGCUAAUACCUUAUACUCCUUAUUAACAGAAGUUAAUAAGGGAAAGAUUUAUUGGUAAGAGAUUAGCCUGUAUUGUAUCAGUUAGUUGGUGGGGUAAUGGCUUACCAAGACUAUGACACAUAACUGGUUUUGGAGGAAGCUAAGUCACGCGGGAACUGAGACACGGUCCAGACUCAUACGAGAGGCAGCAGUGGGGAAGAUUGCACAAUGGACGAAAGUCUGAUGCAGCAUCGCCACGUAAAGGAUGACACAUUUCGAUGAGUAAACUCAUUUUAUAUGAGAAGAUAAUGACGGUAUGAUAUGAAUAAGCACCGGCUAACUCCGUGCCAGCCGCCGCGGUAA
rnacentral:rRNA from 1 species